rnacentral:rRNA from 1 species
CGCCAGACUCCUACGGGAGGCAGCAGUGAGGAAUAGUGGUCAAUGGUCGGGAGACUGAACCAGCCAAGCCGCGUGAGGGAGGAAGGUACAGAGUAUCGUAAACCUCUUUUGUCAGGGAACAAAGACUGGGACGCGUCCCCGGAUGAGUGUACCUGAAGAAAAAGCAUCGGCUAACUCCGUGCCAGCAGCCGCGGUAAUACGGAGGAUGCGAGCGUUAUCCGGAUUUAUUGGGUUUAAAGGGUGCGUAGGCGGACUGGAAAGUCAGCGGUAAAAUCGAGAGGCUCAACCUCUUCCCGCCGUUGAAACUGUCGGUCUUGAGUGGGCGAGAAGUAUGCGGAAUGCGUGGUGUAGCGGUGAAAUGCUUAGAUAUCACGAAGAACCCCGAUUGCGAAGGCAGCCUGCCGCAGCGUUACUGACGCUGAAGCUCGAAAGCGCGGGUAUCGAACAGGAUUAGAUACCCGAGUAC